CAAACAGAGAAGGAGAAUACGCGGGCCAGUGCCGCGAGGAGGAGCGCGAUCCGCUGCGCAAAACUGCGCCACCGUGUGUUGUUGCCGCCGGCAUGAUUAAAGAGAGAGAAGCUCGAGGAGAGAGAGAGAGAUCGACGGAGGGGGUUUCUGUUCGAGCGGCCGUGCCUCCACCGCCUUUCACCGCCGCAGAUCCGCCACCGUCCACCGCGCCGCACCACGCCACGUCGUCGCCGGAAACCGCCACUGAAGUCCUUUUUCCUUUGGGUCGAGUUUUGGUUCUCGCAUGCUGAGUUCAGUAGUCGUGCAUGCGACAUCGAGCUGCCGCGUCGCCAACGAAGUCACCGCCGUUCAGUUUUCUCGGCUAUUCGUAAGUUCGGUUUGAGUUUCGGUCCUUACGUGCCGUAAUUAGAGUUGCUGUAGUUGUGGCCGCUGAUUUUGGGCGGAGAGAAAAGAGUUCAGUUGACGCGUUUGGUUUUCGGGUUUCGGUUUGUCGAGGAAUCAGAUGAAGAAACAUAAUGAGGAGUUAUACUGCGUUUAGAUUUAUAUGAUGUUGAAUUAAUUAGAUUAUUUUUCUUCCCUCGUCUUUGUUAUUACAAUUUUGAAAGAGGGAUAGGAGUUUUGUGUUUUAUAUGUAUAUUAUAUUAUAAGCUAUUAUGUAAGAAAUCUUGUAUAUGAAUCUAUGCUUGUUUGUUUUUUUUUUAAAGAAUUAGUAUCUAUUUCCGGUUUUCAAAGGAAUCAGCGACAUGGUGUCGAGUCA